GUACCCGUAGCGCAAUUGGAUAGAGUAACAGCCUCCGACGCUGUAGGUUGCAGGUUCGAUCCCUGUCGGGUACACCA
rnacentral:tRNA from 1 species